ensembl:lncRNA
GUUUUAAAUAAAAGGCAUUACAAAUACUUUGGUGCAAUCAUACACAAACGGCUUUGAUUUCGUGUAUCCAUUCCAAUCAAUCAGAGACCAGCCAGAUACAUCAAUGUUAAUAAACAAAUCUGUACCUAAAAUGGUUGACCAGUUGUAUCAGCAGCUUGACUGAAAGGGGUCCCAGUACACUUGCCUCUCUUUCCCCCCCCCCCAAUAUAAAACAAGCAGGUUAACUAUUAAAAUCAGAUGGAAAACUCACCUAGACACACCAUUCAUGUGUCUCUUCCGCAGAAGUACCAGAAACAAGACCAGAAGCACCACCAGAGGCACUACCAGUAACCAGAACAGCUUUGUUUUAUCAAAAGGCUGCAAGUCUGAAAAUACAAGAGUUCAGUUAAAGCCCUAUUUUAAUGUAAGAAAUACUCAGUGGUUAUAGUUGCUUCAGUAUUCAAAGUCCUAUGUUCUUGAGUUAAUUUAGUCAAAUUUGUAGUUUUCGGAACAGCAGUUCUCAACCUGCUACCUAUGACCUAUUUGGUGACAAUUAUGAUAAUUGCUUAGGUUCUGUUUGUCUUAUGCUUGUUCUUUGGAUAUUGUUCAUUUGGAUAUUGGAUCAUAUAAUUUGAUUUGCUUGUUUUAUCGUAUCUUUAUUUUUAACUGCUAUAAUAAAUAUGCCCCAGCCUCUUCCAUAAUAUCCCGUGACCAAAAUCCACACAACUGAAUUUCACCAUGCUUCCAUGUAAUGCCAGACAUCGUGCUAAUAACUGCCAAUACUGACUGUCCAAUACUAAAGUUUUAGGUUUGGAAAAUGUAGAAAUAGAAUGCUAUUAUGAAUUACACAACAGUUAGGUCCAGUGGAACAAUUUCUUAAUUUCUGAUUGUACAAAAGGCAUUUCAUGAGAGGGGAUAUCUUGGCACAACCUCACUUGGACUCUUCACCGCUAGUAAUCACGCCGCGUUUGAUAUACUUCGACCAUUAACUGGUAGGACAUCAACAUUCCAUCCAUUCAAAGAGCAGAACUGCAGGCUGCAAUUUUAUAACGCUACAUUUGACAGUUACCAAGUGAGGAGCAUGAGUAGGGG